rnacentral:rRNA from 1 species
UACCAGACUCCUACGGGAGGCAGCAGUGGGGGAUAUUGCACAAUGGGGGGAACCCUGAUGCAGCGACGCCGCGUGGGUGAAGGAGUAUUUCGGUAUGUAAAGCCCUAUCGGCAGGGAAGAAGCAAGACGGUACCUGACUAAGAAGCCCCGACUAACUACGUGCCAGCAGCCGCGGUAAUACGUAGGGGGCGAGCGUUAUCCGGAUUCACUGGGUGUAAAGGGAGCGUAGACGGCCAUGCAAGCCAGGGGUGAAAGCCCGGGGCCCAACCCCGGGACUGCCCUUGGAACUGUGCGGCUAGAGUGCGGGAGGGGCAGGCGGAAUUCCUAGUGUAGCGGUGAAAUGCGUAGAUAUUAGGAGGAACACCAGUGGCGAAGGCGGCCUGCUGGACGACAACCGACGGUGAGGCGCAAAAGCGUGGGGAGCAAACAGGAUUAGAUACCCGCGUAG